UCUGGAACUAUUUCAGAUCAUCUCAGUUUAAACAUACUGACCUGUUCCUAGGAUCACCAUUGACAAUUUGGAAUGCUCUCCUUUAAACUUCUCCCUCUUUUCUUUGGGUCACUUAUAUUUUUCUGCAGUUAGUAUCAUCUCUCUCCUAUAGAAGACGCAACCAUGAGGAAGAGAUUUGGUGGCAAAAGAUCUUCAGUACUGUGCACAAAUAUAUAGAGGUCUUGAAAAUGGGUUGCAGUCCUUAUCAGGAAAUCAACAAGGACUCUGGUUUGUCUGAGUGGAAGAAAAGAAGUAGCAGGAAAUGACUCCAUCAGUUCCUCCUCUCCUAGCAGAGUACAACAUGAUGACACAAACAUUCCCUUACUUAGUUUGCCAUGCACCUGGUGCUGGUGCCAUCUACCGGAUACAAGUAAAGUUAACGAUGUGACCAUUGUUCCAUAUGUAAAAAGUACAACUCAUUACAGC